GUGAACGCUGGCGGUAGGCCUAACACAUGCAAGUCGAACGGCAGCACAGUAAGAGCUUGCUCUUACGGGUGGCGAGUGGCGGACGGGUGAGGAAUACAUCGGAAUCUACUUUUUCGUGGGGGAUAACGUAGGGAAACUUACGCUAAUACCGCAUACGACCUACGGGUGAAAGCAGGGGAUCUUCGGACCUUGCGCGAUUGAAUGAGCCGAUGUCGGAUUAGCUAGUUGGCGGGGUAAAGGCCCACCAAGGCGACGAUCCGUAGCUGGUCUGAGAGGAUGAUCAGCCGCACUGGAACUGAGACACGGUCCAGACUCCUACGGGAGGCAGCAGUGGGGAAUAUUGGACAAUGGGCGCAAGCCUGAUCCAGCCAUACCGCGUGGGUGAAGAAGGCCUUCGGGUUGUAAAGCCCUUUUGUUGGGAAAGAAAAGCAGCAGGUUAAUACCCCGCUGUUCUGACGGUACCCAAAGAAUAAGCACCGGCUAACUUCGUG
rnacentral:rRNA from 1 species